rnacentral:lncRNA from 1 species
UAAUUCUGUCACAAAGAUCAAGAUCCUUGUGGCUUUAUUUGUUCACUCUGGAAUUCACAUUCAUCUUAAGAAAUAUAAAUAGAUAACAGACAUGGCAUUGAUGUGGAGAAGAAAAACAUUACAAAACUGACAAGCAUAGAGCAUCAACUGAAUGAACAAAAAGGAUGAAAGUUAUAUGGAUUCUAUCUAUACAGUAUGUUUGGUUUUUUUACAAAUAAAAAUUGUUUUUACACAGUGGUAAAAGAAACACAGGAUAUCAUAAACAUGCCUCUCAAAAACUCAAAUUAAAUCACAGCCUACACCAAAUUAAGAAUAAGUCAUGUAAUAAAUACAUAAAAGUGAUAAUUGGACAAUAGCCUCAAAAUCAAGAAGAGACCUGGAUACAGUGCAUAGCAUGAAGUCAGAAUAAAUAUCAACUAUCGUAAAUUAUUUUAUUAAUACAUAACAAGAUUCUUUGGCAUAGAAUUGUAUACUUCAUGAAAUAUUGUACAUGUGAAAUUGUAAUCAUAAUGAUUUCUGAAAGUUGUUAUAUUCAAUAGCAUUAUCAACAAUGUAUAAAGAAAAUUUUUGUUUUCAUUAUCGUGACAAUAAAUCAAAUACUACACAUCAAGGGCAUUAGUACAUAUUACACGUGAACUAAAAAAGGGAAUGGUUCUAAUACCUUUACAGAGUAUCAAAGGUAAAUAACACGUACAGGUAAUUGUUGAUAUUUAAUUAAAUUUUAGAUUUGUAGGUAUAAUUAUAGGUUUCUUCUCUACAUGUUAUCUACCUAGAAGCUUGCCAAGUCAAACUUGGCAAAAGAAACUAAAUAACAUGAGAGGUACAUACAUGUACAAUGUAAUAAUUGAUAAUAAAAAUCAAUGAUAAACCAAAAGUAACAAUUACAUAUAUACAGUGUACAUUAGCAGUGAAUAUACAACUUUUUUUUAUUUCUAAUUGUAGAAUUAUAAGCCAGCAAUAAUUUGUUCAUGUGAAAAGAAUCAUGUUUCACUUUAACCAAGUGAAUUACAUGAAAGCAAAUUUUUACAAAACUUAUUUCACUGCAUUACCAUAAUUAUAAAAUAUUGAUAUUCAAACAUGAUGCUAUCAACCAUGCUACCAUCAUUCCAACUUCCAAAAGUAUUUGGUCCUUGAGAAAGCUAAAUUAUAACCAAAGAUUUGAUUUCAUGAUUACAAACAAAAGGUCAAAAGCUGUUUUCAAAUUGUACUGAUCUAAGAAUUGUCUAAAAAUAUUUAUGAACAUCUUAGUUACAUAAAUUGGAAUUCAGAUACUGAAAAGAAUAUAUGAAUUACUUGAUAACAUGAUUUGGAUAAAAAGUCCUUUUUCGAAACACUAUGCAAUAUACUCCCAAGAUUGAUUUAAUUUGUACUAAAGUGUUCAAGCCAGCAUAAGAAGUUGCACGUAUGCAAACUGGGUGUAUGGUUGGAAUAAUCAUGUGUGGCACUUACUUAAUUUCCUCUAUGCAAACUUAUUUCUCAGAGAUGAAAUGCAAUAUUACUAAUUACGGUUACACUUCGUAAUUCCGAAGGUUCUUUCUUCCGAAGGUUCAUAAUUCUGAAUCACGUACAUUGCCUAUACCUCGAUGUUCGUUAUUCCGAAGACGUAAAAGGGUCCGUUAAUCCGAAGCUUCGGAAUUACGAACUAAUUACGACUUGCAAAAAUAGCUCAAAUCUUUUCCUUUCGAUGUGCCAUGCAUGCAAAGUGACAUCAUUCUAUAAAACAUAUCUAGAAUACGAUUAACACUACCAAAACAUGACCAACAUAAGACAAACUUCAGCAUUAACAUGUUCACAAAUCUCUGUCUUACUUUUUUCGAUAAAAAAUGAGUACAAUGUAUAAUACCUUUCUCUGGUUCUCAAUAUAUUGUUCAUAUUUGACUUUGUUCACAAUGUUUACCUUUGUUUGGAAUUCAAAUGAUUAAAUGAAUUGUCAAUUUAUUUGCUUUCAAACUAUUCUGUCAGAUUAAAAAAGAAAUGGUCAAAAACAUAAUCAAAUAAUGAAAAGAUGCUUUAUACAGUAUACCAUGGUAGGUCCAUGAGUAUACGAAAAGUAUAACCAAAUUGAGAAAAGGGGAUAUUGGGACUGGGGAAGGGGGAGAGAGAGAGAUAAGGAAGGGGAGGGAGAAAGAAGAGUGGCAUAUUGCACUCGUUUUAUCUCCAAUUUUAAAAUGCCAGUUGUUUUUACCUGAUAUUUCCAUUUCCAUGUGUCUGAAUGCUCAUAAGUUUCUAUUACUUGUGCCCCCUCUUGUGUUUAAGAGCAUGCUCAUAAAAUACAUCAUGAGAAAUAAAAUUUCAUACAUUUGUUCAUGAAACAAAUGGACAUUUUCACUAUUUGUUACAAGCUACUGAAAACUUUGAAUUUGAUUGGCCAGGGCAAAUACCAAUACCGUUCAACCAACCUUAAGCAUUAUCAGAAAACCAAAACAACCUAACCUCUUCAAGCAAGAGGUAUAAAAAGCUAAAUCUUCUAUUUCAAAUAACAAAAUAUCAGUCCAUAUUGGAGUCAAUGUCAAUAACCGUUCCAGCCUCAUUACCAAUAUACAUUGUUAAUAGCCUCAGCCCUCAUUACAAUGGACCGGUCAAUCAAUAGCCAAUAAUGAUAGUGACCAUGCUAGUGUACAGAUCAAUAGCAUUGUGAGGUAAGAAUAGAAAGGUCAUGUAAUUGGCACCUUGGUGGACCAAGCCCUCACGGGAUAAGUGUCUUUGUUUGACGAGGUUUUGGUGCUUAUUGAGUCAACCAUGCUAAUGAAUAAUUGAGUUGCUACUCCAGGGGUGUGGGCAUCUAAUGCUUCCUAUACCUGCUGUGUUUAAAGUGGCAGCUGGUACCUCAGUCCUAUCAUUUUACAUGAUGACCUCCAGAUAGAGUGAUGAUUUACAUAUACAUCUGAGGAGCAUUUCAUGAAAGGACUUGUCGGACGUUUUAUCCGACAGUUACCAUAUUAACUGUGCUUCUCAGCCAAUCAAAUCAAGAAAUUAAUUGUGAGUAAAGAUAACUGUUGCAAGCGCACUUCUGGGGCCCUGUUUCACAAAACUUGUUAUCAUAUUUAACCGUUAAAAAGCUAGUGAAAUCCUUCAAUUUGAUUGGCUGAUAGUAAACGCAUUGUAGAAAUUUUGUUGAUGAAGCCUUUAUGAACAGGACUUUGUUUGAAAAACAGCCUAUUCUUGCAUCAAAUUUGUAUUAAACAAGAGUUAAGAGGUGUCCAUCUGAUAUGGUUACCAAUCAAUUCUCUACUAGAUUUACACUAGUUGGGUUAAGACCACUCAAACUGCCCUCUAAAUACAUCCAGAGUGUCCCCAUUAAGUAGAGUCCCAUUGUUUCAAUCGGGAGAGGUCAACCCAGAAAGAGAAACACAUGAAAACUGAUAAACAAACUUGUCAAUGAAUGGGAUGCAUCAUACAGCACUUAAAUGUUAUUUUACUAGAAGUGACAUGAACAGCAAAGUUUACCUAUAAUGGGCAGUGGAAUGUUCAUAAUCUAAUUCAAAAGAAGUUGCCAUCAAAUGAUCAAUUGAACACAAUACUACCAGACCAAUAAGUUGUGUGGUAUUUAAACUCUGUGAAACAAUCAACUUUUCCCGAUAGUAAUCAUACCAUCAAAAAGUAUAAAUUGUUGGAAGUGUGCUUCAAAAGACAAUUUUAUCAUGAUUUCAUACAGAAAUGUAAAGAAUAUACUUCAUCAGUGAAAAUAUACUUGGAACCAGUAUCAUGGAGCUUGGCAAUUGACCAUUGGACACAUUCUCUGACUGAGAUUGCACUGAUAUUUCAUAUUCUUUUAAUCAAUAGAAGAAUCAUCAUUCAAUUAUUUUUGCUAUCAAAUUGGUUUCAACAAAAAUAGAACAUUUGGGGAGAAGGGACAACACCCCGGCAAGUGCUGAGAAAACAUUCUUAAAACUACAUGUAAUGAAUUUUACACUAGUUAUCAUUCUAAAAAUAUUACAACUAUGAGUCAUAGGUCCUUUCUCAUUAGCUCUGCCCUUAAUGAGGUCAGGGCCUUAUUCAAUAAAUAAUUACAACCAUGGUAUCAGCAAUUGUUGUAACUACCAUGUAAACCUUAAUUUUUCUUGGCUACUGAGCCCUGUUACCAUGGUAGCUAUCAUAAUGGCAGAGUUACAAUAGUUGUAAGUCUUUGUGAAAAUAGGCCCAGGAGUUCAGAACUGCUGUCUUUCCCAAAUAAUAUCUGAUAUAUCCACGCCAAAUAAAUAAUAUACUGCUGAUGAAAUGAGCAGUGUAUGGAAUGAAUCUAUGAUUAGUGACUACAUGUAUAAAUGAAAGGAUAGUUUAGGUACUACUACUAAAAACACAUUCUACAGCAUUGGCAAUGUGCAUUGUACUUGUCAUCAAUCAUAUAAACCAUUAUUUUUAUACUCUUCAGAGACAGUCCUUUAAAUUAAAUCCAUUAAGAACUAUUUUGUGUUUUUUCUGAUUUAGCUUAAAAUUUUUACUUGAUUUUGUACUUUGAAAUAAAUGCAAAGAAAGAAUAAGAUUAUUUCCAUUGUGGGAUUCUUAAUUUCGUAUCACAAUAAAUAGUACAGAAAUCAAGGUUUAGUUUUUAAAAACAAUAUUAUCAUCAUACAUCAAGUACUGAAAGAAGUUAACAUUUACAUAAGACAAAUAUUACCGGUAGUUAAAACAUGCUUUGAGCUACAAUGCCAACAUUAGGUAUUCAUGAUCAUAAAUAAGUUCAUAUUGUAGAAAACAAUAUUGACGAGCUAAAAGAGAGAGGAUAAAUAGUAGAGAAAUUUACACAACCAAGUGGUCUAUUACAAUGCUUGCAGAAUGUGUGAAAUAUCUUUUAAAAAUUUAAUAUCUUUUUGAAAAUUACUAUGCAUUUCCCUCCCUGCUUCUUGUACAUAUAUACACUUUGCUAAAAAUAUAUCCCAUAAUAAAUAGUUUUAUAUACAAAUAAGAAAGGUGUCUUGUUUCAUAUUGAUAAUUAAAAGUUUUUUACGAUUACACAAAAUUCUAUAAAAUAGUGACCAAAAGCCUAAGUUCCUACAUGAACUGUAUUGAUAUUCUUCCCUUGGAAAAAGGUGACUUACUUCAACAAGAAAACUGACAAGUUAUUUCUCUUAAACUAACCAAAGAUCACAUUCUUACAUGACUGUGAAAAUAAUUCAAUGCAUGCUGAUGACUCCACAAAAUAUCCAGAGAACAUUACUACAGUGAACACUAGAUGAAAUUGGGUGCACUUAAGAUUCACUUGCACUUAAAAUUCACAGUUAAGUGUGGCAUAAAAUUGAUUACCGUAGCAGUCAGAUGAUACACACGCUACUGGAAAUCCAGCGAUGAGGUCACUUAAAACUCAUGUGUGCUUCAGCACCUAAGAAUGACUUCACCAAACUUGUCAUGUUUAUCUUUUAAAGAAAAAAAAGUUGUGGCAAUGGUCAAAUCAAAAUUGUAACAGAACUGAAAUAAUCAUUGAUUACAAGUUACCCUAAACAGAUAGAGAUGAUGUUUGUGAGGCUGUUAUGGUUAACAGGUACUUGCAUAGCGCAUACCUACUACAGUCUGGGAAACCAUAUCCAAGAAUGUAUUGAAUCAUUCGGAGAA